rnacentral:rRNA from 1 species
GAUGAGCGCUGGCGGCGUGCCUAAUACAUGCAAGUCGAGCGAACAGACGAGGAGCUUGCUCCUCUGACGUUAGCGGCGGACGGGUGAGUAACACGUGGAUAACCUACCUAUAAGACUGGGAUAACUUCGGGAAACCGGAGCUAAUACCGGAUAAUAUAUUGAACCGCAUGGUUCAAUAGUGAAAGACGGUUUUGCUGUCACUUAUAGAUGGAUCCGCGCCGCAUUAGCUAGUUGGUAAGGUAACGGCUUACCAAGGCAACGAUGCGUAGCCGACCUGAGAGGGUGAUCGGCCACACUGGAACUGAGACACGGUCCAGACUCCUACGGGAGGCAGCAGUAGGGAAUCUUCCGCAAUGGGCGAAAGCCUGACGGAGCAACACCGCGUGAGUGAUGAAGGUCUUCGGAUCGUAAAACUCUGUUAUUAGGGAAGAACAAAUGUGUAAGUAACUAUGCACGUCUUGACGGUACCUAAUCAGAAAGCCACGGCUAACUACGUG